CAGACCCGCAACUUCCGAGCCGAUUGUGAAAGUGGCCGGACUUCCCCGACGCCGGGCGGGUAUCCACACCCCGUGGACGCCGGGCGGGCAGGGCUUCACACACUGCACGGAGAGGCAGGGGGGGGGGGCGAUCCAUCUACUGUCUUUUAACAGCUCCACAAUGUCUAUAUGUGGGCUGCGGUGGGUUCCAGUCCUGUCGGAGCGCAGCGCGCGCUGCAGAUUCUUGGCAGCCUGGUUCAGGGACGGAAGGACGCGGGCUGCGUCCGACGUUCCCUUUUCUUCACGGGAGCACAGGAGGACUUCGUUGACCUCCCCUUCAAUCUUUCUGGAGAGGACGCUGGGGAACACGGCGCUUACGCGCUGCAGCACGCUCUGCCUCAAGGACGAGUCACGACACACAAGAUUCAGCAUGAAGAUGCCUGAGGCAGAGAUGCGUUCAAGGCCGUCCCCAAGUGUGACAGUCAAACGAUCGUCCGGUUCAAAUCCGAACCACUCCUUUGCCACUUCCAGCACAACAGCAUCCAAUUCCACAACCUCAACAGUAAUACCAGGCACAAAGUCCCGCAGAAACUGGGGCAGACCUCCUCCACCGAGUCCCACCAGCAGCACUGACACUGGGAUGUCUAAGAAGGGAUAGAACAGUCGCCGGUAAACCCGAGCAUGGCAAGGCCAGCCACCAUGACUUCAUGAUGAGCACAGCAGAGGAAGCCACUGUCCACUGACAGAGAGGAAGAGGACGUUGUUGGUGGAGCUGCUGGUUUGCUCUUCUUUUUGCUCUUCUUCUUGUGACUUGAGGCUGCAGGGAUACAAAUAUUGUAGUUAUUUCAACCAUUCACAUCAUAAAUAAAGCCAUUUAGAAUAUUG